rnacentral:rRNA from 1 species
CCUACGGGCGGCAGCAGUGAGGAAUAUUGGUCAAUGGGCGAGAGCCUGAACCAGCCAAGUCGCGUGAGGGAGUACUGCCCUAUGGGUUGUAAACCUCUUUUGUCGGGGAGCAAAAGCCGGACGUGUCCGGCUGUGAGAGUACCCGAAGAAAAAGCAUCGGCUAACUCCGUGCCAGCAGCCGCGGUAAUACGGAGGAUGCGAGCGUUAUCCGGAUUUAUUGGGUUUAAAGGGUGCGCAGGCGGAUUUUUAAGUCAGCGGUAAAAUCGUGGGGCUCAACCCCAUCCAGCCGUUGAAACUGGGGAUCUAGAGUGGGCGAGAGGUAUGCGGAAUGCGUGGUGUAGCGGUGAAAUGCAUAGAUAUCACGCAGAACCCCGAUUGCGAAGGCAGCAUACCGGUGCACAACUGACGCUCAGGCACGAAAGCGUGGGUAUCGAACAGGAUUAGAUACCCCAGUAGUC